UGAGGAAUAUUGGGCAAUGCCCGCAAGGGUGACCCAGCAACGCCGCGUGGAGGAUGAAGGCCGUAAGGUUGUAAACUCCUGUUAGAGGAGAAGAAUAGUGCCGAUUGGAUCGGUAUUUGACUGUACCCUCAGAGAAAGCCCCGGCUAACUACGUGCCAGCAGCCGCGGUAAUACGUAGGGGGCAAGCGUUGUCCGGAUUUACUGGGUGUAAAGGGCGCGCAGGCGGGAUAGCAAGUCAGAGGUGAAAUCCUACAGCUUAACUGUAGAACUGCCUUUGAUACUGUUAUUCUUGAGUUCGGGAGAGAGAGACGGAAUUCCAGGUGUAGUGGUGAAAUACGUAGAUAUCUGGAAGAACACCAGUUGCGAAGGCGGUCUCUUGGUCCGAUACUGACGCUGAGGCGCGAAAGCGUGGGGAGCAAACAGG
rnacentral:rRNA from 1 species